rnacentral:tRNA from 1 species
UCCCUGGGUCCAGUGGCUAAGACUCUGCGCUCUCAAUGCAGGGGGCCCAGGUUCCAUCCCUGGCCAGGCAA